UUUUAUGCAUCAACCAUCAAGUUUGACGAAAACCCAGUAAUAUUGACAAACUUUCUUGAGUGUGUUGCUCAUUUUCAAUCUCAAUGUUUCAAUCUAUGAACUUUCUUUACUUUGCUGGAUGGUCAAUUGAAUUUGCUUGAUUUUGAUUAUUCAUGUAAGUUUUAAACUUUUUUUUGUUAGUCACACAACUGUAGUUUGAUUAAUCCAAGAAGGGUUUUUCUUUAACAUUGGUGUUGUUGAUUUUAUGGUUAAUGUUAUUAUUUUAUUGUGACACAAUUGUUGCAAGAUACCAUAAAUUUCAAUUUUGCUAAUCUCUACUCACAAUGUUAUGUUCCUCCCUGUUUAUGUUUUCAGGUCAUAUUGAAGUUGUCUAGCUCUCAUGAAUCUGCACCUUCAUUUUCUUAGG
rnacentral:lncRNA from 1 species